rnacentral:rRNA from 1 species
UAGAUGAAAAAAAAACUUUGAAAAGAGAGUUAAACAGUACGUGAAAUUGCUGAAAGGGAAACGCUUGAAGUCAGUCGCGUCGUUUAGAACUCAGCCUUGCUUUUGCUUGGUGCACUUUCUAGAUGACGGGCCAGCAUCGAUUUUGACCGUCGGAAAAGGGCUAGGGUAAUGUGGCACCUCCGGGUGUGUUAUAGACUCUAGUCGCAUACGGCGGUUGGGAUCGAGGAACGCAGCGCGCCGCAAGGCAGGGGUUCGCCCACUUUCGCGCUUAGGAUGCUGGCAUAAUGGCUUUAAACGACCCGUCUUGAAACACGGACCAAGGAGUCUAACAUACCUGCGAGUGUUUGGGUGGAAAACCCGAGCGCGUAAUGAAAGUGAAAGUUGAGACCUCUGUCGUGGAGGGCAUCGACGCCCGGACCUGACGUUCUCUGACGGAUCCGCGGUAGAGCAUGUAUGUUGGGACCCGAAAGAUGGUGAACUAUGCCUGAAUAGGGUGAAGCCAGAGGAAACUCUGGUGGAGGCUCGUAGCGAUUCUGACGUGCAAAUCGAUCGUCAAAUUUGGGUAUAGGGGCGAAAGACUAAUCGAACCCUACUAGACUUGCCCU